AUGGUUGUGUCGAUGGUCGCCAUGUGUGCUGCGGCAUUAGUGGAGACCCAAAGGUUGGAGAUGGCACGGAAGAACAACCUGGUUGACAACGCCAGGGCGAUCAUACCGAUGAGUUGGACAUGGUUGGUUCCACAGUAUGUGAUGAUUGGGGUGGCCGACGUGUUUGUGUUAGUCGGGAUGCAGGAGUUCUUCUAUGACCAAAUGCCUAGUGAGCUUCGCAGCCUUGGCAUAGUGCUCUUCUAUAGCAUGAUGGGAAUCGGUGGCUUCGUCAGCGGCGCUCUCAUAUCACUCAUUGACCACAUCACCUGCAGGGGUGGGGGCGAAAGCUGGUUCUCUGACAACCUCAAUCGCGCCCACCUCGACUACUUCUACUGGUUGCUCGCUGGCUUGAGCGCCGCCGAGCUUGCGCUCUAUAUCUACAUCACCAGAAGAUAUGUCUACAAGGAAAAGAGAGUCAGUUGA
rnacentral:rRNA from 1 species